rnacentral:rRNA from 1 species
GAUGAACGCUGGCGGCGUGCCUAAUACAUGCAAGUCGAGCGAACGGACGCGAAGCUUGCUUUUCUGAUGUUAGCAGCGGACGGGUGAGUAACACGUGGAUAACCUACCUAUAAGACUGGGAUAACCUCGGGAAACCGGAGCUAAUACCGGAUAAUAUUUUGAACCGCAUGGUUCAAAAGUGAAAGACGGUCUUGCUGUCACUUAUAGAUGGAUCCGCGCUGCAUUAGCUAGUUGGUAAGGUAACGGCUUACCAAGGCAACGAUGCAUAGCCGACCUGUGAGGGUGGUAGCCCACACUAGAGGGGGGACACGGUCCAGGCGACUGCGGGAGGCAGCAGUAGGGAAUCUUCCGCAGUGGGGGAGAGCAUGACGGAACAAGGCGGCGUGAGUGAUGACGGUCUUCGGAUCGUGAAGCUCUGUUAUUAGGGGAAAACAGAUGUGUAAGUAACUGUGCACAUCUUGACGGUACCUAGUAAGGAAGCAACGGCUAACUACGUG